CCUACGGGAGGCAGCAGUGAGGAAUAUUGGUCAAUGGCCGAGAGGCUGAACCAGCCAAGUCGCGUGAGGGAUGACGGCUCUACGGGUUGUAAACCUCUUUUGUCGGGGAGCAAAGAGAGUCACGUGUGGCUCAUUGAGAGUAUCCGAAGAAAAAGCAUCGGCUAACUCCGUGCCAGCAGCCGCGGUAAUACGUAGGUGGGAAGCGUUGUCCGGAAUUACUGGGGGUAGAGGGAGCGUAGGCGGGAUGUCAAGUCAGAAGUGAAAAUUAUGGGCUCAACUAAUAAACUGCUUUUGAAACGGAUAUUCUAGAGUGAAGUAGAGGCAAGCGGAAUUCCUAGUGUAGCGGUGAAAUGCGUAGAUAUUAGGAGGAACACCAGUGGCGAAGGCGGCCUGCUGGGCUUUUACUGACGCUGAGGCUCGAAAGCGUGGGGAGCAAACAGGAUUAGAUACCCUAGUAGUC
rnacentral:rRNA from 1 species